rnacentral:rRNA from 1 species
GGAGCCGCAGCGAAAGCGAGUCUGAAUAGGGCGUUGAGUAUUUGGUCGUAGACCCGAAACCAGGUGAUCUACCCUUGGUCAGGUUGAAGUUCAGGUAACACUGAAUGGAGGACCGAACCGACUUACGUUGAAAAGUGAGCGGAUGAACUGAGGGUAGCGGAGAAAUUCCAAUCGAACUUGGAGAUAGCUGGUUCUCUCCGAAAUAGCUUUAGGGCUAGCCUCAAGUGAUGAUUAUUGGAGGUAGAGCACUGUUUGGACGAGGGGCCCCUCUCGGGUUACCGAAUUCAGACAAACUCCGAAUGCCAAUUAAUUUAACUUGGGAGUCAGAACAUGGGUGAUAAGGUCCGUGUUCGAAAGGGAAACAGCCCAGACCACCAGCUAAGGUCCCAAAAUAUAUGUUAAGUGGAAAAGGAUGUGGCGUUGCCCAGACAACUAGGAUGUUGGCUUAGAAGCAGCCAUCAUUUAAAGAGUGCGUAAUAGCUCACUAGUCGAGUGACACUGCGCCGAAAAUGUACCGGGGCUAAACAUAUUACCGAAGCUGUGGAUUGUCCUUUGGACAAUGGUAGGAGAGCGUUCUAAGGGCGUCGAAGCAUGAUCGCAAGGACAUGUGGAGCGCUUAGAAGUGAGAAUGCCGGUGUGAGUAGCGAAAGACGGGUGAGAAUCCCGUCCACCGAUUGACUAAGGUUUCCAGAGGAAGGCUCGUCCGCUCUGGGUUAGUCGGGUCCUAAGCUGAGGCCGACAGGCGUAGGCGAUGGAUAACAGGUUGAUAUUCCUGUACCACCUAGUAUCGUUUUAAUCGAUGGGGGGACGCAGUAGGAUAGGCGAAGCGUGCUGUUGGAGUGCACGUCCAAGCAGUAAGGCUGAGUGUUAGGCAAAUCCGGCACUCAUAAGGCUGAGCUGUGAUGGGGAGAGGAAAUUGUUUCCUCGAGUCGUUGAUUUCACACUGCCGAGAAAAGCCUCUAGAUAGAUAACAGGUGCCCGUACCGCAAACCGACACAGGUAGUCAAGAUGAGAAUUCUAAGGUGAGCGAGCGAACUCUCGUUAAGGAACUCGGCAAAAUGACCCCGUAACUUCGGGAGAAGGGGUGCUCUUUAGGGUUCACGCCCAGAAGAGCCGCAGUGAAUAGGCCCAAGCGACUGUUUAUCAAAAACACAGGUCUCUGCUAAACCGUAAGGUGAUGUAUAGGGGCUGACGCCUGCCCGGUGCUGGAAGGUUAAGAGGAGUGGUUAGCUUCUGCGAAGCUACGAAUCGAAGCCCCAGUAAACGGCGGCCGUAACUAUAACGGUCCUAAGGUAGCGAAAUUCCUUGUCGGGUAAGUUCCGACCCGCACGAAAGGCGUAACGAUUUGGGCACUGUCUCAACGAGAGACUCGGUGAAAUCAUAGUACCUGUGAAGAUGCAGGUUACCCGCGACAGGACGGAAAGACCCCGUGGAGCUUUACUGUAGCCUGAUAUUGAAAUUCGGCACAGCUUGUACAGGAUAGGUAGGAGCCUUUGAAACGUGAGCGCUAGCUUACGUGGAGGCGUUGGUGGGAUACUACCCUAGCUGUGUUGGCUUUCUAACCCGCACCACUUAUCGUGGUGGGAGACAGUGUCAGGCGGGCAGUUUGACUGGGGCGGUCGCCUCCUAAAAGGUAACGGAGGCGCUCAAAGGUUCCCUCAGAAUGGUUGGAAAUCAUUCAUAGAGUGUAAAGGCAUAAGGGAGCUUGACUGCGAGACCUACAAGUCGAGCAGGGUCGAAAGACGGACUUAGUGAUCCGGUGGUUCCGCAUGGAAGGGCCAUCGCUCAACGGAUAAAAGCUACCCCGGGGAUAACAGGCUUAUCUCCCCCAAGAGUUCACAUCGACGGGGAGGUUUGGCACCUCGAUGUCGGCUCAUCGCAUCCUGGGGCUGUAGUCGGUCCCAAGGGUUGGGCUGUUCGCCCAUUAAAGCGGUACGCGAGCUGGGUUCAGAACGUCGUGAGACAGUUCGGUCCCUAUCCGUCGUGGGCGUAGGAAAUUUGAGAGGAGCUGUCCUUAGUACGAGAGGACCGGGAUGGACAUACCUCUGGUGUACCAGUUGUCGUGCCAACGGCAUAGCUGGGUAGCUAUGUAUGGACGGGAUAAGUGCUGAAAGCAUCUAAGCAUGAAGCCCCCCUCAAGAUGAGAUUUCCCAACUUCGGUUAUAAGAUCCCUCGAAGAUGACGAGGUUAAUAGGUUCGAGGUGGAAGCGUGGUGACACGUGGAGCUGACGAAUACUAAUCGAUCGAAGACUUAAUCAA